rnacentral:snoRNA from 1 species
UCCCUCCGAAGGCCUUACCCAUCAGAUUUAAACACGGAUCUGAGUGGUUCUAAAAGAAGGAAAAGUUGAAUAGAAACUGACUUCAAUUACUUUGUGACCCAUGAGCUAGGUACAAAAAAGA